rnacentral:rRNA from 1 species
UACGAAGGGGGCUAGCGUUGUUCGGAUUUACUGGGCGUAAAGCGCACGUAGGCGGUUUGUUAAGUCAGAGGUGAAAUCCCGGAGCUCAACUCCGGAACUGCCUUUGAUACUGGCAAGCUAGAGUCCGGAAGAGGUAAGUGGAACUCCUAGUGUAGAGGUGAAAUUCGUAGAUAUUCGCAAGAACACCAGUGGCGAAGGCGGCCAACUGGUCCGGUACUGACGCUGAGGUGCGAAAGCGUGGGGAGCAAACAGG